AAAGAAAAAAACAAACUAAACAUUUAUAGACAGGUGAGGGUUUACAUUUACUCAAGUAACUUGAAAACAUAUAAUCCUAAAAUACCAAACUUUUCACUUGAGUUCAAAGUAUUUAAUUCAACUUUUAUUCUUAUAUUAGUUUCUAUUUUUUUUAUUUUUGAUAACUACUUCAAUAUUCUACUUGAGUAAUAGUAUUUUUAAAGUAAUGCUACGCUGAUUUGAGUCCACUUUAUAUUUAACUUUACAUUUAUAUUUGUAAUGUAACAAAUACGAAUUUUAGACAGUUUUAGUAAGUCAUGUGACAAGACUGUCAAGGAGGCAAAAAAGAGGAAGCUAUGGAGUUAGAAGUAAACUGUUGAUUUACUUUGAAAAACUUUUUGUUGUAAAGAUUAACAUUUCAAUAAAGUUUUUUUCUUUUUGAACCAAUCCACACACUGAAAAAUGGGCCGUCUUUAUUCGCUGCAGUUAGCUAACCCAAACCUUACUGAAUUGUUCGAGAAGGAUUGUAAACUUUUUUUAAUGGCAAAAACUGGAGCUAUCGCGCUUGGCUUACCCUCUGUUCGGUCCUUUGGGAAUAAACCACGGAACAACUCCUCCAACGAUGGCCCAAAACAGGGUCAUGACUGACAUGGCGAUGGCAAACCUCUGAUCCGCCAUGGUGAGCGGUUUACGCAGAACUACAACAAAUGGACGAACUUUAAACUUCCGAAAAGUUCAACAGAACGACGAUCUCGCCGACGGCGUCAGAGGGAAGGCAGCACGGAUCACAUGACUCCUUCUGACAGAGGGAGGAAGUAGAAACAGGACGUUGUCUCUGGAAUCAUUUACUUUUUUAUUUUAACAAACUGUCAAUCCCUGUGAAAAAUGGAUUUUAAAUAAUUUGAAGUGUAAAACUUAAUUUGUCAAGUCACCAGAAAUUGAAAACAAAACAUUUUGUUCUCGUUUGUGCGCUGUUCUACAAAGGCUCUUCAAGGUGUACUUAGUUUUUUCCCCAAACAUGCCCUUGUUUUUACAGAGUCUUUAAAUAAAGUACCUCUUAGAAGUUAGGUUUUAAGUAACAUCUCAGCUGGAAAGGUCACUCAGUUAGCAGAUAAUUGGUUUUUAUAUUCAAUAUUCUUAAAUCCUCCUCAUUUUAGGCACAACAUCAAUACUCUUAUCAACUUUGCCAUCUAGAAGUAUUUUAAUUAACUAUUUCUAAAGUAUUUUUUUAAGUGUAUUAUUUGUGUUUUACUUGUAUUUUAGUUCUGCUGUAUGACAUGUUUCUGUUUAUAGUGUUGACAUGGUGACCUCCAUCCAUCCAUUUUCCUAACCUGCUAUAGUCCUUUCAGGGUCACCAGAGCCUUUCCUGGCUUGUUGGGCGAUGGCAGGGUACACCCUGCACAGGUUGCCAGCCAGUUCCAGGGUACGCAAUCACUCCCACAUUCCUCCUCGCUAGGAAACUUUACCUAUCAACCUAUGAAGCAUGUUUUUGGUCUAUGAAUGGGUCUUGAAAAUGCCCCCGCAUGCACAGGGAGAACAUGGUAACCCCACACAGAAGGUUGCCAGCUGGGAUUUGCACCAGGGUCCAUUUAGAUCUCGUCUGUUCUGUACCCUUUUUUUUGCACUUAUAGUUAAAAAACAAACAAAGAAGUUAUAUACCUAAUUCAUUUCAUUCAUGAAUUUCAGUAUUUAUGGUUUUUGCAGCACUUGCACCAACAAAACCUUUACCCUAUCAAAAUUUUCACAAUAUUUAGCUCUUCAGAGUUUUUGUUGUAUUUGACUUUUAUAGCAGGUAACAAACUUUUAUCCAUUAUUCCAGCUUUCUAAAUCUCCCUCGGUGCCCAUUAUUCCUCAUAACUAUCACAUCUGUCAGCGCUCAUAUUAACCUUUUUUCCUUAAGUUUUUGUUUUUCCAUAUUAAGCACUAGACAUGACUGAUUUAGUAUCCCAUUUUUACAUCCUCUGGUAUUUUUCAAAUCAUGAGUGAUGAUUGUGUCCCCACCCAAUGACACAAAUACCAAAUGAUGUCCAUUUAUAAAGUUUAUUGAUAACAAAGAUCAUUUUACUCCUGCAUCUUCUCAAUGGUCUCCUCCUUGUAUUUGCCUUUCUCCUUUCCAUCAGCGCGAGACUUGGCCUUGCGCUCCAGGAUCUUCUUACGAUCUUUGU